UACGUAGGGGGCUAGCGUUGUCCGGAAUCAUUGGGCGUAAAGCGCGUGUAGGCGGUCCGGUAAGUCCGCUGUGAAAGUCGGGGGCUCAACCCUCGGAUGCCGGUGGAUACUGUCGGGCUUGAGUACGGAAGAGGCGAGUGGAAUUCCUGGUGUAGCGGUGAAAUGCGCAGAUAUCAGGAGGAACACCAAUUGCGAAGGCAGCUCGCUGGGACGUUAACUGACGCUGAGACGCGAAAGCGUGGGGAGCAAACAGG
rnacentral:rRNA from 1 species